UCAAAAAAAAUUCUACAAAAUUAGCAUGUACUAAUACACACAAAAUAUAUAUAUAUAUAUAUAAUUACAAAUUCAUAUUGCAUGACCUCAAAGCGCCAUAAAAUGAACCCGAAAGUAAUAGCGAAGCAAUGAGUUUUUGUCACUAGCUCAUUUUCUAUGGACCGACGAAAUUCAGGUCAAUCAACGUCCGUCAAAAAAAUUCAACAAAAUCGCAUAGUAUACACACGAAAAAAUGUAUAUAUUCAUAAAUUCGUAUUACAUGACCAUGAAACAACACAAAAUGAACCCGAAAGUCAUGGAAAAGCAAUGAGUAUUGGUCACAAUGUCAUUUCCUAUAAACCUGCAAAAAUUCAAGCCAAUCGGAGUCCGUCAAAAAAACUUCUACAAAAUCAGCAUGCACUAAUAUCCACAAAAAAGUGGAUAUAAUCAUCAGUUCGUAUUGCAUGACCAUGAAUCGCCAUAAAAUGAACCCGAAGUCAUGGUGACGCAAUGAAUAUAUGCCACUAGGUCGUUUCCUAUAAACCUAUGAAAAUAUAGGCUAAUCAAAGUCCAUCAAAAAACUUAUACAAAGUCAACAUGUACUAAUAUGCGCGAAAAAAGUGGAUAUAACCACAAAUUUGUUUUGCCUGACCUCGAAACGCAAUAAAAUGAACUCGAAAGUCAUGGCAAAGCAAUGAAUAUUGAU
rnacentral:lncRNA from 1 species